rnacentral:rRNA from 1 species
GAUGAACGCUGGCGGCGUGCCUAAUACAUGCAAGUCGAACGAGACCUUCGGGUCUAGUGGCGGGCGGGUGAGUAACACGUUGGUACCUACCCUCGAGUGGGGAAUAACUGGCCGAAAGGUCGGCUAAUACCGCAUAAUACCGCAAGGUUAAAGUAGCAAUACGCUCGGGGAGGGGCCUGCGUCCCAUUAGCUUGUUGGUAGUGUAAUGGACUACCAAGGCGACGAUGGGUAGCUGGAUCGAGAGGUUGACCAGCCCANACUGGGACUGAGAUACGGCCCAGACUCCUACGGGAGCAGCAGUAAGAUCUCCANAUGGACGAAGUCUGAUGGAGCAACGCCGCGUG